AAAUUACCCAAUUCUAACAGCAUAAGAGAGGUAGUGACAAGAAAUAACAGUACAAGGCAGUUAAAAUGCUUUGUAAUUGGAAUGAUAGAAAUUUAAAUACUUUUUAAAGUAUCAAUUGGAGGGCAAGUCUGGUGCCAGCAGCCGCGGUAAUUCCAGCUCCAAUAGCGUAUAUUAAAAUUGUUGCAGUUAAAAAGCUCGUAGUUGAAUUUUUGCUAAAAAUAACCGGUCUGCUUUUAUUAAUAAAAGUGGUAUCUUGGUGUGUUUCUAGCAAUAAUGUCCUUUGAAAUGUUUUUUACUUCAAUGUAAAAAGCAAUUUUCAGGAUUUUUACUUUGAGAAAAUUAGAGUGUUUCAAG
rnacentral:rRNA from 1 species